CCUACGGGAGGCAGCAGUGAGGAAUAUUGGUCAAUGGGCGAGAGCCUGAACCAGCCAAGUCGCGUGAAGGAUGACGGCCCUACGGGUUGUAAACUUCUUUUGUCAGGGAGAAAUUGGGUCCACGCGUGGGCAUAGCGAGAGUACCUGAAGAAAAAGCAUCGGCUAACUCCGUGCCAGCAGCCGCGGUACUACGGAGGAUGCGAGCGUUAUCCGGAUUGAUUGGGUUUAAAGGUUGCGUAGGCGGAAUAUCAAGUCAGAGGUAAAAAUUCGGGGCUCAACCCCGUCGUGCCGUGGAAACUGAGGUUCUUGAGUGGGCGAGAAGUAUGCGGAAUGCGUGGUGUAGCGGUGAGAUGCAUAGAGAUCACGCAGAACUCCGAUUGCGAAGGCAGCAUACCGGCGCCCAACUGACGCUGAAGCACGAAAGCGUGGGUAUCGAACAGGAUUAGAUACCCCUGUAGUC
rnacentral:rRNA from 1 species